AUUCGAUGUUUCAAGCGUCUUUGGGUCUGAGAAAAUCUCUAAAAUACAAUUAGUUUGUAUAAAAAAAUGGGUUAUGUUAUACGUUUUUGCUGGUGGUAGUUGGUCCCUAUGUUAGUAUGUUUAUGAUUUGUUUUCUCUCUCCAUCCAUCUUUCUGUCUCUCCAUCCAUAUCUCUCUCCAUCCAUCCCUCUCCAUCCAUCUCUCUCAUUCAGCCAAGACGAGGUUGGCAUUGUCUGAUUCGACUGACCUUGAAGCCACCACAGAGGAGAGCAUUGACUGUUUGUCAUCUGACCUGGACAAGACCAAAAGACAGGACCCUCUUAGUAAAGAUGGGAAGGACCCAGCCCUGCAGCUGACCUCCCCCACAACGGGGCCAUCCGUGUCGGACCUGUUGGCCGUGAGCUCAGUGGAGCACCAGGUGCAGCUGCUCCAGAGGCUGCUCCAGCAGCAGGAGCAGCAGGCCCAGGCUGCUGCAGCACAGGUAGACACGUUUUCAAACUUUUCCAAAUUACAGUUUGUCUUGUUGAAUGCAGCUUAUGAGUAACAUUGGCAUAGUUUGAUUAGCCAAAAUACUGUACAUUUCACUGUUUGUUAUGGUAUUUUAGAUCAAAAAGAGACUAUUAAACUUGAGCCACAGUACCUUGGCAGAUUAUUAGCUAGCUAGAAACCUCGUACAGCAUUUUCUGUGGUGAGCACAAGUGGAUAUUUCAUCAUGUGUCUGAACCGUCACUAUAAACAGUAACGUGUGUAUUAUAAAUACGACAUUUUAUAUAUUGAGUUUUGUCCCGAAUGUGUUUACGUUACUUUUAAGUAGUUCAAUUAGUGUUUAUUUUGUUUAACUGGUUCGUGCUACCCUGAGCUACCACUCUAAUGGUUGACGGUUCAACAAGGGAGAGGUAUUGCCUUUUGCUGCUGGGGCUAUAAAGAAUGAUAAGACAGUGCUCUUCCUCAAAGGUAGCUCUCAGCUCUGCUGGUCUAACAAGACAUUCCUUAUGACUAACGAGCAAGCCGGCUCAACGUUGUCACUCUACACUGUCUAGUCUGUUUCUCAUUCUCUCUUGUCAUUCCUGUAAUCACAUGGCUUGGUCUAAUGAGGUUUGGGCUGGUUUUUGGGUUAUAACGACGGAUUCUUUUUUAAUGCUGAGCGAACAGAGGCAGAAUCACAGGGGCGAAGAAACGUUCCCUUUGACCCUGGAUCAGUGGAUGUGUGUUUGUGAAUUUCUGUUAGAUAUUUUGGGGUAUUUCUGUGUGUCUAUGUUUAAUAACCUAUGAGUGCAUAUUCAUUUAUAUUAUUUUACCGUGUGUAUGUGUGUGUGUCCUCACAAAAAUAGUAAUACACAAAUGUGUGUGUGUGUGUGUGUGUGUGUGUGUGUGUGUGUGUGUGUGUGUGUGUGUGUGUGUGUGUGUGUGUGUUUGCAUUUUUGCAUGCAUGUGUAACGGAUGUGAAACGGCUAGCUUAGUUAGCGGGGGGCGCUAAAUAGCGUUUCAAUCGGUGACGUCACUUGCUCUGAGACCUUGAAGUAGUGGUUCCCCUUGCUCUGCAAGGGCCGCGGCUUUUGUGAAGCGAUGGGUAACGACGCUUCAUGGGUGACUGUUGUUGAUGUGUGCAGAGGGUC
rnacentral:lncRNA from 13 species